CCCUUAGACGUUCUGGGCCGCACGCGCGCUACACUGACGGAGCCAGCGAGUAUAAACCUUGGCCGAGAGGUCUGGGAAAUCUUGUGAAACUCCGUCGUGCUGGGGAUAGAGCAUUGUAAUUAUUGCUCUUCAACGAGGAAUUCCUAGUAAGCGCAAGUCAUCAGCUUGCGUUGAUUACGUCCCUGCCCUUUGUACACACCGUCCGUCGCUACUACCGAUUGAAUGGCUUAGUGAGGCUUCCGGAUUGGUUUAGAGAAGGGGGCAACUCCAUCUUGGAACCGAGAAGCUAGUCAAACUUGGUCAUUUAGAGGAAGUAAAAGUCGUAACA
rnacentral:rRNA from 1 species